GGUCAAUGAUGAUCUGGCAUGUAUUCUGAAUCCGAAGCUGAUUAUUACUACUUUAAGAUGCUGG